rnacentral:lncRNA from 1 species
AAGUGCUAAAUAGGUCUUCAUGUUUAGGAUUUCAGGAAUCGGUCACCUAUGGCUGGUUAUUGGUAUCAGAAAUAUUUCCAGAUACAAAUUAUUUCCGAAGUGAUUUCUACUAGAAGUUAAAUUCAAAUCAACAUAAUUUCAAUUAUGCUUGCAGGACGAGAAAUAAAAUUGUAGCUCUGAAAAUUAUCAGUUUCUGGCAUUCCAUGAUCCAGUAAUGCUACUUUGUAUGAAGGAAACAUGGAAACUAACACAUAGAUGCAUCUAAUAACCAAGCAACCAUGGUGGGACUUGGAAGACACUAAGCAUGAGCAGAUACUAUCAUGAGAACCAAUGGAAACUAACACAGAUGCAUCUAAUAACCAAGCAACACAUGGUGGGAUUUGGAAGACAUUAAGCAUGAGCAGAUACUAUCAUGAGAACCAACGGAAACUAACACAUAGAUGCAUCUAAUAACCAAGCAACACAUGGUGGGAUUUGGAAGACACUAAGCAUGAGCAGAUACUAUCGUGAGAACCAGAAUAUUGUGCACCUCCUCAAGACAGGUUGUGUUGCCUAAUGGAUAAUGGUUCCAAAACAACAUAUUACCUGGGUGCAACCAAAGAGUUUGAGGAGACUAAUAUUGUGCGCCUCCCUAAAGACAGGUUGCGUUGCCUAAUUGAAAAUGGUUCCAAAACAACAUAUUACCUGUGAACAACCAAAGAGUUUGAGGAUACUUAGA